AUCACCACGGUGAUGGAAUUAGGGAUCUCCUGCCCUGAGUCUUAAGUGCCACUGUCUGUGCUGAGUUUUUCGAAGGUCAGAGCAGAUUGAACCUUUGUGCUUUCAUUUUUCCUGAUUUUGAUUUUUCUUAUGGGGAUCCACUUUUCCUGCAUUCGAGGUGACUCGAAGAAGCCUUCUAAAAAGCGUGUGAAAAGGAAGCCCUACUCUACUACCAUGGUGAUUUCAUUGAGCCCAAUCAAUGAAAUUUUGAGAAGAUACAGCCUGUACACCAACCAGCAUCAGAGGCAUCAUGGCUUCUGGAGAAAGAAGAAGAUACAGCCACAAGAAGCCUCUGAGGAGCCUCCAGCUCGCAAGGACAGAGGAGGUGGAGAGAGGCCAGUCAACGCGAGGGUGGUGCGGGUGGCCCCUCUGAGGCUUGGUUUUGCUCCUUGUGGGUACGCUGUACAAGACAUCUCUAAAGAAGACACUGUAUAUGACAUCUGUAAUGAGGAUGCUGUAGACAUCUCUGAUGAGGACACUGUAGAUAUCUCUAAUGAGGCUUCUGUACAUGACAUCUCUAAUGAGGCUGCUGUAUGUGACAUCUCUAAUGAUGCUGUAAACAUCUCUAAUGAGGCUGCUGUACGUGACAUCUCUAAUGACGCUGUAGACAUCUGUAAUGAGGCUGCUGUACAUGACAUCUCUAAUGAGGACACUAUAGAAGACAUUUCUUAUGAGGACACUGUAUACGACAUCACUAAUGAGGAUGCUGUACGAUACAUCUGUAAAAAAGAAGAUGCUACCAAGGAGCCAUUGACACUGGAGAAUGAUUUGAUUGUGGAGAGCAUGUCUGAUGACGAGGAUUUUGCAGGACUUUAAAAAGCACUCAUGUUUCCAUCCUCACUGUUGACUCCUGGCUUAAAGGGAUCUCCCGGGGUGAGUGAGGAGGCGGGAUCGGACCCUGGCAGUCUGACGGCAGCACGUGUUCCUCUGCACUGGGCCGUGGAUGACAUUACACACCUUGCCUUCCCAAUAGGGCAGCAUAAAAGCAGGAGCCUUGCUAGUCUCCCCUUAACCUGGAAUCCCCCCUUCUCCACAGCUCGCUCACUGGACAGGAUAGACUGGGCGCCCAGGCCUCAAGGUAAGGACACACUCUGUCACCUAGAGGUGCAGUGCUUGGGAAGGCCAACCUUGGAGGGGCGCUGCCAGCUUUACAGUGACAGAGGUGUUGGGAGGGACUGACCACCAAUGCAUAAGGCUGUGCUUUGUUGGUGACGUGAAGGAUUAUUUCUCAAAUUUUUGGGGAGGGACAAUCUCAAGGCCUCCCCUGGCCCUGGUGCUGGCUCUGCACAAAGGCAAUAAGAGAGGGAUGCUGGUAAGGGCUGACCUGUUGCUGUGCUGGGGAGGAAGGUGCUGGGCUGAAAUUCAGGAGGCUGAGGAUGCAGCAGUCCCAUAGGAGGUACGUGACCUUCAGGAUACAUUUUCUUCAUUGAUGAUCAAUGGAAAUGAGAAAUCACUGACUAUUUUUUCUAUCCUUGGAAUCUACUCUCCACUGCUCAUGCUGUUCCUGUCUUUUGGGGAAGAUGGAGGAUCAAUCAGUGUGCGCUGCACUGAGUGGAAGGAAGGAGAGCUGUGACAAAAAUUAAGGGAGGAUGAGAGACAGGGGGGCCCUUCAUCCAGCUGCUUGCAGAGUCCUCCUGAGGAGGAAAGCCCCGUGGCUCCCUGGCGAAGGAGCAGUGAGGGCUGCGUGACUCCCACAGUGAAGUGUGUGGUAUGUCUGAGGACAGCCAGGCUGGUCUGUUAAGAGUCAGUGGCAGAGUGAGAAGCAGCAAGGCCAGGAGGGUGGCUGGAGGCCAGGCUCUGGAUCAUUCUUCAUGUGAUGGAAACAGCCGGAGCCCAGUGGGCUGGGAGGUGCAGGACGCGGUGGCUGAUGACGGAACAAUGUGGAGAGAAGUGUGAUGUGUCAAAUCCUUACUUUGUUCUGGGCAUUGUGCUAAACGUGGCUCAUCCCAUUUCGGGGCCGAAAGUUGCAGAGGUUUAGGAAGCUCACCCACGAUACUGGAGCCCCCAUCGCCUGCCCUAGGGCUGUCCCCUUUCUCACCCAGCCACCACCUGUUUCGGGGCAAUACACAGAAGUGGUAACCUCUUAUGGAUAGGCAAGUAAAUUCCGCUGUUUUUGUUAUUCACAGAAAAAAACACUGGCUCAUGGGGGUUGGGAAGGUGAAAUACCAGAAGCAUUUCAUCUGGUUAUUUCUAUUAACGUGAAUCCUAUAGUAUUGAAAUGCAUAGGUUAGCAUUUUUGGCCAAUUUACUCAGCAUUCUGGGUUAAAGGCUUUUAUUUAAUUAAUUAAUUUGUUUAUUUUUGAGAUGGAGUUUCACUCUUGUUGCCCAAGCUGGAGUGCAACAGUACUAUCUCGGCUCACUGCAAUCUCCACCUCCCAGGUUCAAGCGAGUCUCCUGCCCUCUGCCUCCUAAGUAGCUGUGAUUAUAGGCUCAUGCCACCAUACCUGGCUAAUUUUUUGUAUUUUUGGUAGAAAUGAGGGUUCACCGUUUUGGUCAGGCUGGUCUCGAACUCCUGACCUCAGGUGAUCCGCCCACCUUGGCCCACCAAAGUGCUGGGAUUAUGGGCAUGAAUCACCACGCCUGGCGUAAAGGCUUUUAAAACUCACUUGUAUAAGUUGACUUAGUUUUCUUUAACCUUGUAGAAAAAUACAAAAUGGCAAUCUCUUUUAUCACACAAAUAAUGUCUUUUUAAUAGUGAUUUUUUUCUAAUUGAUAUAUACUUUUCAUUCACUAAUUAUUAAUUGCUUACAUUUGAAGUGUUUUAUGAAUUAAUAUUUGCUUGCAUAGAUGAAGAUGACUAGUCAUAGGCAUUUUUACUAACCAAUACUCAUUACGCAUAGCAUGGACUCAUGUGAUGUCAAGGAGCUAUUUUCUUUGGUAAAAGGAAAAAGCCCAAGAAUGAAUGCAAGAACUGAAACAGUGGAGACACCUAGAAUGACUUGUCUAAGAUCUAAAUCAUUUUGUUGUCUUCCCAGUGUACUUAUUAUCCUGAUCAUUGUCAUCAGCAUUGAUUUGGUCAUUUUAGCACAGAUUUCUCAAAAUGGGUAACUCCAUAACAGUUGGAAGCUUAUGAAUUCAUAUAAUUUGUAAGAGGACAAUUUGGGAGUACCUAUUUUAAAAUUCUAAUAACCUGGUAAUUUCAUCCAUGUCUAGAGUAUUUUAUGUAAAAUAUUUCCAUAAUUAGGAGAAAUAUGUGCAUGGGGGUUUUCUAUGUAGCGGUGUUUUAAUAGAAUAGAAAAUUGGGACAAACCAAAUUUCCAUCACAAAGGAAAUAGUAAUACACUGAAUAAUAAUACAGCAAAUAUUAUGCAGGCUUUAAACAUCAAAAAGGAGCUCAACUUCUGACUUCCGAUGAUGGUGUUGAAGUAGGUCACAGCUGGUUUACAUUUGAUUUUCAUGUGGGAACUCUGGAAGUCUGCCUUAGUGAUUUUACAUGCAGCUAAAUUUAGCUAAUGAAAAACUAUUCGAAGUAUGGCAAAAUGGAACUUUAAAACAGUAUCUUGUCAACAACCAAGAGGACCUGUUUCACAUAAAGCCCAUGCAUUCAUCUGCCUGUCCAUCAUUCUGUCUGUCCAUCAUUCUGUCUGUCCACACGGGCAUCAUUUGUUAGUGGAACUGAGUGCCCACUGUCGAGCUGACAAGCCCAUAACCUCCCUGUUCCUAGUCACACAUUAAUUCUUCAACAAGUCCCUUUUGAUAGAUUGUGAUUAAGCUUAGCUGCUAUUUCCAAUUGCUUCCCCAAACAUACUUAUCACUGUUCUCCCAUCACACCCUCCAGCCCAUCCAUGCAGGUUUCCUUUGCUUUUCUCACCUUACACCAAACUCCCUAUUUUUACUCCCACUUUUACCUUCUCUCCAAGACAAAACAAACAAAACUAGCAUUUUAAAACUUAGUUGUAAUCUUUCUUCCUUCAUGAAAAUUUCUCCAACAGCUACUCCCAUGGCCCUGUGUGUUCCGGAUUUUUUUAAAUAUUGGCUAUAAGGUUGAGCAAGUCAGGAUAUGCUUUUUUGGGGUGCACACUGUUUUGUUUGUAUUGAUUCUUCCUAUUGGAGGCGUGGUCAUUGCCUUCUCCUCUGGGGAGUUUAUGCCAGUGCUCUUCAAUAAGAUUGGCAGGCAAUUUUUCUUUUUGUACUUAAUUUUUUUGUAUGGUAUUGAGAUAAUAUUCUCAUCAGAUUAAUUGAAAGUAGCCCCCUUCAUUAAUUUUAUGGAAAUAUUUUAAUGGGAUUAGAAUGACAACUCCACUGUAAUUUUGGAUUUAGCCAAUAAUACUAUUAGGGCUCUGUGUGUGAGAGAGAAAAAGAGAGAAAGGGAAAGAAAGAGACAAAGACCCGUACUUCUUAACUACUGAUUAAAUUUACAUAGAAGCUACUGAACUAUUCAGGAUUUUUAUUUCUUCAUGAGUUCAUUUUAGAAAAUUAUACUUUCUAGGAUUUUGUCUAUUUUGUACACAUUUUAAAAUGUCUUGGCAUGAUAUCCUUAUUCAUAUAUGUUUACAUACAUAAUGAAUACAUAUGUAGAUUUGAAUACAUAUAUUUAUUCAUAACAUCCACUGUUUUGUAAUCUCUGCUACUUCUGUGGUUAUGUCUUCCGAUGAAUUUCUGAUAUGAAUUUUGAUUAUUUCCCUUUUUUCUUGAUAAAUCUCACUAAUGAUACCAUAUGGACCCUGCGGGGAGACGGAGAGGACGAAGGGUGUGGCGACAGUUUAUUUCUUUGCCUUUUGCACAUAUCCCAUGAGAUUCUGGCAAGGCUGAGAGUGCAGGUACCAAUGGGGUCCCUGAGGACGGGAGCCGCGGUGCCAGUUCCCGAGGUGCACUGAGAUCUCUCGCCCGCCCCCGAGGCUGGGGUCCUGUGGUUCGGCCCGAGGGCCUCAACGCCCGCCCUUCCUUGUGCCCGCCCCUCCCCCGGCUGCGCCGCUACUUUGGCUGCUAGUUACCUCGACGGACGCCGGGGCUGCGGGACAGGCGGUACCGGCCGGCCAAGGGGACGCCGGCACUGAGGGACACCGCAGCAUGAAGCAGAGAGAUGGGGUCUCACUGUGUUGCCCAGGAUGGCCUCGAACUCCUAGUCUCAAUGAUUCUCCUGCCUCAGCCUCCCAAAGCAUUGAAAUUACAGAUGUGAGCCACCACGCCCAGUUGAAAAUGGUUCUUCCAGGAUGGAUUUUUUUGUAUGCUUAUUCUGGAAAAUAAAAUGGAAUUAAAUUGG